UACGUAGGGUGCAAGCGUUGUCCGGAAUUAUUGGGCGUAAAGAGCUCGUAGGCGGUCUGUCGCGUCGGCUGUGAAAUCCCGAGGCUCAACCUCGGGUCUGCAGUCGAUACGGGCAAACUGGAGUGUUGCAGGGGAGACUGGAAUUCCUGGUGUAGCGGUGAAAUGCGUAGAUAUCGAGAGGAACACCUGCGGCGAAGGCGGGUUGCUGGGCUGACACUGACGCUGAUGCGCGAAAGCUAGGGGAGCGAACGGG
rnacentral:rRNA from 1 species